AGGUCCUUAAAUUAAAUGCUUUGCAGCCUUUUCCUGCCCUUAAAUUUGGUAUCUUUGGUGUAGGAGCUGCAUAAGAAAUAGUU
rnacentral:snoRNA from 1 species